GAUAACGUGUGGUGUUUACAUGUAACAUAUUGUGUUUUCUAUGUAACACAGACAAAAAUUAACUUUCAAACAGAACAUACAGGUAGGACAGAUGUGGGGUACAGUAGGACACAGGACAGGUAGGACACAGGACAGAUAAUACUGAUGUGACUACAGGUAGGAAACAGAACAGGUACAGUAGGACACAGGACAGGUAGGACACAGGACAGGUAGGACACAGGACAGGUAGGACACAGGACAGUAAUACUGAUGUGACUACAGGUAGGAAACAGGACAGGUACAGUAGGACACAGGACAGGUAGGACACAGGACAGGUACAGUAGGACACAGGACAGGUAGGACACAGGACAGUAAUACUGGUGUGACUACAGGUAGGACACAGGACAGGUACAGUAGGAAACAGGACAGGUACAGUAGGACACAGGGCAGGUAGGACACAGGACAGUAAUACUGGUGUGACUACAGGUAGGACACAGAACAGGUACAGUAGGACACAGGACAGGUACAGUAGGACACAGGACAGGUAGGACACAGGACAGGUACAGUAGGACACAGGACAGGUAGGACACAGGACAGGUAGGACUCAGGACAGGUAGGACUCAGGACAGUAAUACUGGUGUGACUACAGGUAGGACACAGGACAGGUAGGACACAGGACAGGUAGGACUCAGGACAGGUAGGACUCAGGACAGUAAUACUG
ensembl:lncRNA